CCCUUAGAUGUUCUGGGCCGCACGCGCGCUACACUGUUCGACGCAGCGAGUCUUAACCUUGACCGAAAGGUUUGGGUAAUCUUCAGCAAAGUCGAACGUGAUGGGGAUCGAUCAUUGCAAUUAUUGAUCGUGAACGAGGAAUUCCUAGUAAGUGCAAGUCAUCAGCUUGCGCUGAUUACGUCCCUGCCCUUUGUACACACCGCCCGUCGCUACUACCGAUUGAAUGGUUUAGUGAGAUCUCUGGAUUGACGCUGGCUAGGGGGCGACCCUUGGCCAGACUGUUGAGAAACUGCUCAAACUUGAUCAUUUAGAGGAAGUAAAAGUCGGAACA
rnacentral:rRNA from 1 species